GAGCUCAUAUCAGCAGCAUAUAUACUAAAAUUGAAAAGAUAUAAAAAGAGUAGUACAGCCCCUGAACAAAGAUGACACACAAAGUCAUGAUAACAUUCCAUAUUUU